rnacentral:rRNA from 1 species
CGCGUAGGCGGUUAAAUAAGUCAGAUGUGAAAGCCCCGGGCUCAACCUGGGAACUGCAUUUGAAACUGUUUAGCUAGAGUGUGGUAGAGGAGAGUGGAAUUUCAGGUGUAGCGGUGAAAUGCGUAGAUAUCUGAAGGAACAUCAGUGGCGAAGGCGGCUCUCUGGACCAACACUGACGCUGAGGUGCGAAAGCGUGGGUAGCAAACA